rnacentral:rRNA from 1 species
CGGGUGAGUAAUGUAUGGGGAUCUGCCUGAUGGCGGGGGAUAACUACUGGAAACGGUAGCUAAUACCGCAUAAUGUCUACGGACCAAAGCGGGGGACCUCCGGGCCUCGCGCCAUCAGAUGAACCCAUAUGGGAUUAGCUUGUAGGUAAGGUAACGGCUCACCUAGGCGACGAUCCCUAGCUGGUCUGAGAGGAUGAUCAGCCACACUGGGACUGAGACACGGCCCAG